UCAUAAUGGAGAGUUUGAUCCUGGCUCAGAAUGAAACCUGGCGGUGUGCCUAACACAUGCAAGUCAAACGACAAUUUUUUUUGGAGUGGCGGACGGGUGAGUAACACGUAAGAACCUACCUUUAGGAGGGGGAUACCAUCCCGGGAAACUGGUGCUAAUACCCCAUAUGCUGAGAAGUGAAAAGGUAUUUAACCGCCUAGAGAGGGGCUUGCGGCUGAUUAGCUAGUUGGUGGGGUAAUGGCCUCCCAAGGCGACGAUCAGUAGCUGGUUUGAGAGGAUGAUCAGCCACACUGGGACUGAGACACGGCCCAGACUCCUACGGGAGGCAGCAGUGAGGAAUUUUCCGCAAUGGGCGAAAGCCUGACGGAGCAAUACCGCGUGGAGGAAAAAGAAGACCUGUGGGUUGACUUAUAUAAGUAAGAGGUUUACAGCCCACAGAACAAAACGUUGACGAGGACCAAAGACAAUUAUGUAACUAUUUAUUAUAAAGUCUAAGAAUCCGUCAGAGUUUUGGGAAAAAAUCCGGUGAAUUGACAAGAAAGCUAAAGAAUUUGUUCAAAUUCUAUGCUAAUUUGCAGCGAAGCUUAAUGAAACGCAUAAAAGUAAUUAAGAACGUUCAACGACUAGUUGGUGAGGAGCGUCAAACCAAUAACCCAACCACGAGCGCCGGACACUAGCUUAAGAAAAAGUUAGUGAUGACAUAGUCUGUCCUAUGAGAAAUCAUGGGGGUUUAGGAUAAAGAGCCUAAACGCUUAAUCUGGAAUCUGCAAGGUUCCUCUUGACUCCUCAUAGUGAAUCUUAACUAUUCACUCUAUUGUCAUUGUCAAGAAUUAAGAAAAAAGUGUAAACUCCUUUUCUCAGAGAAGAACACUGACGGUAUCUGAGGAAUAAGCACCGGCUAACUAUGUGCCAGCAGCCGCGGUAAUACAUGGGGUGCGAGGUUUAUUCGGAAUGAUUGGGCGUAAAGCGUUCGUAGGUGGUUUCACGAAGUCCACUGUCAAAGAUCAGGGCUUAACCUUGGGCAGGCAGUGGAAACUCGGAAACUCGAGUCAGGUGGGGGCUGAAGGAAUCAACAGCGUAACAGUGAAAUGUGUAGAUAUUGUUGAGAACACCGAUGGAGAAAUCAUUCAGCUGGGCCAUGACUGACACUGAGGGACGACAGCUAGGGGAGCAAAAAGGAUUAGAUACCCUUGUAGUCCUAGCCGUAAACGAUGGAGACUAAGUGCUGUCAAAAAACAGUGCUGUAGCUAACGCGUUAAGUCUCCCGCCUGGGGAGUAUGCUGGCAACAGUGAAACUCAAAGGAAUUGACGGGGGCCAGCACAAGAGGUGGAUUAUGUGGUUUAAUUUGAUGCUACGCGGAGAACCUUACCAGGGAUUGAACUGCCAAGAAAGGUCCAGAGAUGGGUCUGUGCCCGAAAGGGAACUUGGACAGAGGUGGUGCACGGCUGUCGUCAGCUCGUGAUGCGAAUUGUCAGGUUAAGUCCUUGAACGAGCGUAACCCUUGUUUUCAGUUGCCCGAAAGGGAACUCUGGAAAAACUGCCGAUGUAAAUCGGAGGAAGGAGAGGAUGACGUCAAGUCAGCAUGCCCCUUAUAUCCUGGGCUACACACGUAAUACAAUGGUCGAGACAGCGAGACGCUACCCCGUAAGGGCACGCUAAUCUCUAAAACUCGGCCUCAAUUCGAAUUGUGUUCUGCAACUCGAACACAUGAAGCCGGAAUCUCUAGUAAUCGCCAAUCAGCUAUGUGGCGGUGAAUACGUUCCCUGGCCUUGUACACACCGCCCGUCAAAUGGAGGGAGUGAGCUUCGCUCGAAGCCGUUCAGACUAACCCACAAGGAUGUCAACGUCUACAGCGCGGCUUGUGACUUCUAUUAAGUCGUAACAAGGUAUCCGUACUGGAAGGUGCGGAUGGAAAACCUCCUU
rnacentral:rRNA from 1 species